rnacentral:rRNA from 1 species
UAGGGAAUAUUGGUAAUGUGCGAAAGCGCGAACCAGCAACGCCGCGUGCACGAUGAAGGCCUUCGGGUCGUAAAGUGCUUUUAGAGAGGAUGAGGAAGGACAGUACUUUCUGAAUAAGCCUCGGCUAACUACGUGCCAGCAGCCGCGGUAAAACGUAGGAGGCUAGCGUUAUCCGGAUUUACUGGGCGUAAAGCGCAUGCAGGUGGUUUUGUAAGUUGGAUGUGAAAGCUCCUGGCUUAACUGGGAGAGGUCGUUCAAAACUACAAGACUUGAGAUUGGUAGAGGAAAAUGGAAUUCCGGGUGUAGUGGUGAAAUGCGUAGAUAUCCGGAGGAACACCAGUGGCGAAAGCGGUUUUCUGAACCAAUUCUGACACUCAGAUGCGAAAGCUAAGGUAGCAAACG